GCAUAUCAAUAAGCGGAGGCA
rnacentral:rRNA from 1 species